ACACACACACACACACACAGACUGCCGAGUACACACACACACAGACUGCCGAGUGUACACACACACAGACUGCUAAAUACACACACUGCAUUGAGGGGUACAGUGUAUGUGUUUGUGUGUGCGGUGAUGUGUUUGUGUGUGGGGUGAUGUGUUUGUGUGUGGGGUGAUGUGUUUGUGUGGUGUGUGUGUGUGGGGUGAUGUGUGUGUGUUUGUGUGGGGUGAUAUGUGUAGGGCAGGGGUGCUGUGUGUAUGUCGUCCCCUCUCUCC